UACGGGGGGGGCAAGCGUUGUUCGGAAUUACUGGGCGUAAAGGGUUUGUAGGUGGCCAACUAAGUCAGACGUGAAAUCCCUCGGCUUAACCGGGGAACUGCGUCUGAUACUGGAUGGCUUGAGUUUGGGAGAGGGAUGCGGAAUUCCAGGUGUAGCGGUGAAAUGCGUAGAUAUCUGGAGGAACAUCAGUGGCGAAGGCGGCUACCUGGCCCAAUACUGACACUCAGGUGCGACAGCGUGGGGAGCAAACAGG
rnacentral:rRNA from 1 species